ACUUUUAAAGGAAGAUAGUUUUCCCCUGAUCUUAGGAUUCAGUAUUUCUUGGUGCAAGUCCAAGUAAAAGUU
rnacentral:tRNA from 1 species